CUGAUGGUGAUGGUGACGCCGUGGGACGUGGAGCUACACAGGAGCCCCCCUGGCUCACCUGAUCACAUGCCCUGGCUCACCUGAGCAGCGCCCGCGCCUCCCCCGCCAGCCCGCUCAGCUCCUGCGCCCGUGCCUGCAGCCCCCGCGCCUCCUGCUCCAGCCGCGAGCAGCGCGCCCGCAGCUCCUCCCUGCCGCUCUCCAGCCUGCAGCGGGACCCCCCGGCCUCAGCUCCUCCACCUGCGUCUGCAGCCGCAGCAGCUUCUUGGCGGCGGCGGCGCCGGCGGCGUCGGCCUCGAGCUGCUCCCGCAGCGCGCGGUUCUCGGCGGCCAGGUGUCCCUUCUCCUCCAGCAGCGUGGCCACCUGCGGCGCCCAGGUGUGCAGGAUUCCCUCCCAGGUGUGCAGAAUCCCUCCCAGGUGUGCAGGAUUCCCUCCCAGGUGUGCAGGAUCACUCCCAGGUGUGCAGGGAGGGGCACAGGUGUGCAGGAUUCCCUCCCAGGUGUGCAGGGAGGGGCCCAGGUGUGCAGGAUUCCCUCCCAGGUGUGCAGAAUUGCUCCCAGGUGUGCAGGAUCCCCUCCCAGGUAUGCAGAAUUGCUCCCAGGUGUGCAGGAUCCCCUCCCAGGUAUGCAGAAUUGCUCCCAGGUGUGCAGGAUCCCCUCCCAGGUGUGCAGGAUCCCCUCCCAGGUGUGCAGGAUUCCCUCCCAGGUGUGCAGGAUCCCCUCCCAGGUGCUGCCACCUCUCCCACGAGCUGGCAGAGAACCCCCUCCCCCUCGCCCUCAGGUGGAAAUCGGGGGGCACCCAAGAUUUGGGGUUCCCCCCCCCCCCCACAGGUGA